GCCCGGGUGGCGAAACGGCAAACGCGGCUGGCUCAGACCCAGCUUACUGGGGGUUCGACUCCCUCCCCGGGCACCU
rnacentral:tRNA from 1 species